ACGGGAGGCAGCAGUGGGGAAUAUUGCACAAUGGGCGCAAGCCUGAUGCAGCAACGCCGCGUGAGGGACGACGGCCUUCGGGUUGUAAACCUCUUUUAGCAGGGAAGAAGCGAAAGUGACGGUACCUGCAGAAAAAGCGCCGGCUAACUACGUGCCAGCAGCCGCGGUAAUACGUAGGGCGCAAGCGUUAUCCGGAAUUAUUGGGCGUAAAGAGCUCGUAGGCGGUUUGUCGCGUCUGCUGUGAAAUCCGGAGGCUCAACCUCCGGCCUGCAGUGGGUACGGGCAGACUAGAGUGCGGUAGGGGAGAUUGGAAUUCCUGGUGUAGCGGUGGAAUGCGCAGAUAUCAGGAGGAACACCGAUGGCGAAGGCAGAUCUCUGGGCCGUAACUGACGCUGAGGAGCGAAAGGGUGGGGAGCAAACAGGCUUAGAUACCCUGGUAGUCCACCCCGUAAACGUUGGGAACUAGUUGUGGGGUCCAUUCCACGGAUUCCGUGACGCAGCUAACGCAUUAAGUUCCCCGCCUGGGGAGUACGGCCGCAAGGCUAAAACUCAAAGGAAUUGACGGGGACCCGCACAAGCGGCGGAGCAUGCGGAUUAAUUCGAUGCAACGCGAAGAACCUUACCAAGGCUUGACAUAUACGAGAACGGGCCAGAAAUGGUCAACUCUUUGGACACUCGUAAACAGG
rnacentral:rRNA from 1 species